UGGCUUUAAUUUCUAUUCGGUUAGAAGCGUGUGCUCAAGACACGUCGCAAUUCAAAGCUAAUAAUUUUAAAUUGACUUUAAUUCAAUUCGAGCUAUCUCGAAAAUUAUACCUAUGUACUUACGAAUGUGCAUUCGACUUUAGUACCUUUAUAAAGAGCUCGGUAGACCAUUGAUCGUUACAUACACAGUCAACACAUUCGGAGGUUUGACAUGUGACUCCUUGGAUCUCUUUACGAAACUAAAGAGCACCGUAUUGAAGUCUGUUAAAGCACCUUUGUAUGCAAUAACAAAUGGAACGUACUUGUGUUAGUACAUAUCGAUGAAAAGUGGUUCGAUCACAUAUAGUUCGUCGAUGGAAAGUAUAUCAGAUGUUUAUUUUGAUGACUCUUCAAAAGAAUCGAUUUAAAUUCAUCCUGCUUUAAUUUAGGAUCGAAUAAAAUUAUUUUGUUAACUAAAAACUAAGAACAGCUGGUCAACGAGAUUUUAACAGAAAACAGGAGGGCAAGACAUCUUCCUCUGAUCGAUGAUCGACAGUGGUUGGGAAAAGCGUACGAUCCCUUUAAGCCAUCAAGCAAUAAGGGGGUAACACGAAGCUGAAGUGUAAUGAAUUUCCAUCGACUUGACGAAGCACUUCGAAGCUGGAUGAAGACGAAAUGGACGCGUAAGCGAUAUUCCAAAUUCGUAAUUGGUAACUUUCGUGAGUCCCAGAGGGUGAAUCUAUUAGAAGACUGAGAAGUUCGAGUUCGGAGAAAUUUCGAGAAGACGAAAAUACUCCAUUGAGAAUUCUUGAGUAGCUCGAUAACGAGUUUCGGAUAAACUAUUGAGAGAAAUUGCGAUACGAGGGGUUGACGAUAAGGUCGUCUUACUCUCUAAUCUUUCGACGAGAAAAUGAGAUUAUAAAUGUAUUUAAAUUGAAAGAACAAAAGUACAGGUACUAACUCGUUCGAAUUUCAUUC